rnacentral:rRNA from 1 species
UACAGAGGUCUCAAGCGUUUGUUCGGAUUCAUUGGGCGUAAAGGGUGUGUAGGUGGCGCCGUAAGUCGGGUGUGAAAUUUCGGAGCUUAACUCCGAAACUGCAUUCGAUACUGCGGUGCUUGAGGACUGGAGAGGAGACUGGAAUUCAUGGUGUAGCAGUGAAAUGCGUAGAGAUCAUGAGGAAGACCAGUGGCGAAGGCGGCGACCUGGACAGAUACUGACACUCAACUGCGAAAGCCGUGGGGAGCAAACAGG